rnacentral:rRNA from 1 species
GACGAACGCUGGCGGCGUGCUUAACACAUGCAAGUCGUACGGUAAGGCCCUUUCGGGGGUACACGAGUGGCGAACGGGUGAGUAACACGUGAGUAACCUGCCCACAACUUUGGGAUAACGCUAGGAAACUGGUGCUAAUACUGGAUAUGUGCUCCUGCUGCAUGGUGGGGGUUGGAAAGCUCCGGCGGUUGUGGAUGGACUCGCGGCCUAUCAGCUUGUUGGUGGGGUAGUGGCCUACCAAGGCGGCGACGGGUAGCCGGCCUGAGAGGGUGACCGGCCACAUUGGGACUGAGAUACGGCCCAGACUCCUACGGGAGGCAGCAGUGGGGAAUAUUGCACAAUGGGCGCAAGCCUGAUGCAGCAACGCCGCGUGCGGGAUGACGGCCUUCGGGUUGUAAACCGCUUUCAGCAGGGACGAAGCUUUAUGUGACGGUACCUGCAGAAGAAGCACCGGCUAACUACGUG